rnacentral:misc_RNA from 1 species
GAUGAAGAACGCAGCGAAAUGCGAUAAGUAAUGUGAAUUGCAGAAUUCAGUGAAUCAUCGAAUCUUUGAACGCACAUUGCGCCCGCCAGUAUUCUGGCGGGCAUGCCUGUCCGAGCGUCAUUUCAACCCUCGACCCCCUCCGGGGGGUCGGCGUUGGGGAUCGGCCCCUCACCGGGCCGCCCCCGAAAUCCAGUGGCGGUCUCGCCGCAGCCUCUCCUGCGCAGUAGUUUGCACACUCGCACCGGGAGCGCGGCGCGGCCACAGCCGUAAAACACCCCAAACUCUGAAAUGUUGACCUCGGAUCAGGUAGGAAUACCCGCUGAACUUAAGCAUAUCAAUAAGCGGAGGA